CAAAAAUAUUAGGUUUACUUUCUAUAUAGAAGAGGGAGUAAAGAAACGAUUAAGGGAAAAAUAGUCUUUUUAUCUCAAUAAUAAAAGAUUCUAGAAUAUUCUGCAAUCUGCUCUUCAAACUACUUUGUUGCCACUUUCCAUUACAUUUUUAGUUUUGGCUUGCUCUUCUCUUCCAAUAUCAGUUAAAUAGAGGUGAUGAAUGAUUUUUAGAACUUCAACCAUAUGAGUGUGUAAAGAUCCCACCACAAAAAAUUGACAUAAAUCAAGGGACAGUGGGGAAGUGUAGAUAACUAAGCUUGAAUUUGGUGUUAUUAAUAAUUAUAACAGCAACAAAGCCUGAAAACCCCAAUUUGAGGAGGGUCGAGUGUAAGACCUUACUUCUACCUCGUGUUCUUUAUAAUUGACUAGACUUAUCGGGCUCAUACAAUUUGUAAGAGGUAUGACAUUUCAAUGAAGUAUAAAGGAUAAGCUAGCUCUCAGUAGGUUACAUUAUAAAAUGAUAUGAUAAAUUCACCUAUUUGGUGUGAUAUACUGUAUGAUAUGAAUAUUUGUGCCUUUUCAUCGAUUUUAGCUUCGAUAUACCAGUGUUUCAGGUUUUUACCCUUACCAUUCACCUUCUUCUUUUGGAUUUUGGCAUUCAAGUGUUGUAGCUUUAUAGUGAUCUCUAUCAAGUCGUGAUCCCACUGUCUAUUCUCCAAAAAGAGAAAAUGACAUUUUUUUUGUUUCUCUGUAUCUUCCUUAAGCUGAAUAAAAAAGUAGUAUUUCUACUGUUGCUUCAGAAAUAGGUAGCUUUGUUGCUAACUAAGCUUUCUCAAUGUCCACAAUGUUCUAUUUCUGCUUAUCAGAUUGACUUCUUCAAAAAAAUUCAUUUUGAAGGUUAAUAUGAAUCAAUAUGAUUCCAAGUUCUCCCUUCUCUCCUCCAUCAUGCAUUUACAUCUCUGAUUUAAAAAUAUUUCAUUAACUUGCCCUAUACUGGUUCUUGUUUAUUUUACUUACUAUAUAAGUGGAAGAGGGUAUAUAAUACCGAUUUUAUAUUCAGACAAUUUGCAAUCUUUUGUUGUUGUGCUAGGAAAAGAUGGUGUUUACAAAAUUCACAUAGGAGACAUAGUGUGUCAAUGUUAUGAGAACUUUUAUAAUAUUUCAUUUAUGUUGUGCUCUCAAAGAGAUACGGAACCAAAGUUUUUAAAAAAUAUAACAAACUACGAUAUUUCUAUUGUGGAUGGUCUUUGGCAGUAUGAAAUUGUUCCCUUCUCACAUUUAAGAUGAUCCAAUACUUUCAUAGACUUCACAUCAAAAAUGGUAACAUGGGUAGAAGAGAUGGUACCACUUUAGAAGGAUUACAAUGCUAUUAUUUGUGCACAAGAUGUAAUAUUCCACUGAUGUGCCAAGGAAAAAUGAAUAGUAAGAUUGACGUUAUGUGCCAUUAAAAAUUAUUUUUUCAAAAUAUUAUUUUAGAUCAAUGAUCUGGAAAUCAUUGUGCAUUCCCUUAUUCAAAUGUAUUCUAAUUAUUUUUAUUAAUUUAAUUAUUUUCAAGAGCCGGAAGCUUGGUGAAGAUGAUCAUAGAUGAAGCAAGACAAUUGUAGACACAAUAUUACUUAUGAUUUUUUGAUCUCAUACUGUUAUUUUCUGUCAAAUUUUUCUGACUUGUUUGCUGUGUAGGUUCUAAUCUUAUUGCAGGCAAUAAUUUACGAUUUUGAUGAUUGUUGUAUUUC